GGUCAUUAACCUGUCGAUUAACUCAGUGACACCCGACAUCCUAGAUGCAUUUAGCAAACUUAUAAUACGGAACGUCUUAAAGAAACGAAUUCCUAUUGUUUCAUCUGCGGGUAAUAACAAUGAUGAUGCGGGGAAUUAUUAUCCUGCAGACUCCGGUAUGGUGAUGGUGGUUGGAGCUACUGACGAAAAUGAUAAGAGGGCGCCCGAUUCUAAUUUCGGCCCAUCUAUCGAUUUCUUCGCCCCGGGAGUGAAUAUUGAGACUGCAGGUAUUGGGUCAGACACAGAGACUGUAACAACAUCCGGUACAUCAAUGGCGGCAGCCUUUGUCUCAGGUCUAGCCGGACUAGUCAAAACACAAGUUCCAGGAUCAACCCAGGAAGAAGUGGCCCAUAGAAUUGGAUACUAUACCACGAAGGAUGUUGUAGAUGACGUAAAUGGCUCCCCAAACAG